ACGAUUUACAAGAAACAAAUUUCGCAUUGAGCAACAACUCUCAGCAAAAGUGGAUAUAUCCUCUGAGAAGGAAGCUGAUUGUACACAACAUGAGACUAUUGAUUUGAAAUCUAAACUUCAGUCCAAGGAAGCUAAAAUUGAGAAGAUGAAAUAUGAACAUCUGACGAGGGAGGCUGCUUUGGCAAAGAAGGAGCUUCUUGAAGAGGAGUACAAGAAAAAGUUUGAUGAGGCAAAGAAGGAACUAUCUCUCGAGAAUGAUCUAGCAGGCAUGUGAGUUCUUGUUGCUAAAUUGAAAAGAGGGGCUUUAGACAUAUCUGAUUUGAAUGUUGAUGAUCGAACUAAAGUGUAAGGGCGUAGCGAUCACCACAUUGUUGUCUCAUAAUUGGUGUUAAUGAAAAAUAACAUGGUGCUGCACGGAAUCUCUACUUUCUCUUGUAAGAAGGAUUGUUCUGUCAGCAUAAUUUGAUUUGCAUGUAUAAUGUCUUCA